rnacentral:rRNA from 1 species
AUUGAACGCUGGCGGCAUGCUUUACACAUGCAAGUCGAACGGCAGCGCGGGCUUCGGCCUGGCGGCGAGUGGCGCACGGGUGAGUAAUGCAUCGGAACGUGCCCAGUAGUGGGAGAUAGCCCGGCGAAAGCCGGAUUAAUACCGCAUACGACCUGAGGGUGAAAGCGGGGGACCGAAAGGCCUCGCGCUAUUGGAGCGGCCGAUGUCGGAUUAGCUAGUUGGUGGGGUAAAGGCUUACCAAGGCGACGAUCCGUAGCUGGUCUGAGAGGACGACCAGCCACACUGGGAGUGAGACACGGACCAGACUCCUACGGGAGGCAGCAGUGGGGAAUUUUGGACAAUGUGGGCAACCCUGAUCCAGCCAUGCCGCGUGCGGGAAGAAGGCCUUCGGGUUGUAAACCGCUUUUGUUCGGGAAGAAAUCCUCUGGGCUAAUACCCCGGGGGGAUGACGGUACCGGAAGAAUAAGCACCGGCUAACUACGUG